rnacentral:rRNA from 1 species
GACGAACGCUGGCGGCGUGCUUAACACAUGCAAGUCGAGCGGUAAGGCCCUUUCGGGGGUACACGAGCGGCGAACGGGUGAGUAACACGUGGGUGACCUGCCCUCAGCUCUGGGAUAAGCCUGGGAAACCGGGUCUAAUACCGGAUAUGACUCCAUGACGCAUGUUGUGGGGUGGAAAGCCUUGUGCGGCUGGGGAUGGGCCCGCGGCCUAUCAGCUUGUUGGUGGGGUNAUGGCCACCAAGGCGACGACGGGUAGCCGGCCUGAGAGGGCGACCGGCCACACUGGGACUGAGACACGGUCCAGACACCUACGGGUGGCAGCAGUCGAGAAUUUUUCUCAAUGGGGGGAAACCCUGAAGGAGCGACGCCGCGUGGAGGAUGAAAGGCUUUCGGGUUGUAAACCAACUGUCGCGAAGGGACGAAGAUCUGACGGUACCUCGAAAGGAAGCACCGGCUAACUCUGUGCCAG